GGUCAGCGACUUAUAUUCUGUAGCAAGGUUAACCGUAUAGGGGAGCCGUAGGGAAACCGAGUCUUAACCGGGCGUUAAGUUGCAGGGUAUAGACCCGAAACCCGGUGAUCUAGCCAUGGGCAGGUUGAAGGUUGGGUAACACUAACUGGAGGACCGAACCGACUAAUGUUGAAAAAUUAGCGGAUGACCUGUGGCUGGGGGUGAAAGGCCAAUCAAACCGGGAGAUAGCUGGUUCUCCCCGAAAGCUAUUUAGGUAGCGCCUCGUGAAUUCAUCUCCGGGGGUAGAGCACUGUUUCGGCUAGGGGGCCAUCCCGGCUUACCAACCCGAUGCAAACUGCGAAUACCGGAGAAUGUUAUCACGGGAGACACACGGCGGGUGCUAACGUCCGUCGUGAAGAGGGAAACAACCCAGACCGCCAGCUAAGGUCCCAAAGUCAUGGUUAAGUGGGAAACGAUGUGGGAAGGCCCAGACAGCCAGGAUGUUGGCUUAGAAGCAGCCAUCAUUUAAAGAAAGCGUAAUAGCUCACUGGUCGAGUCGGCCUGCGCGGAAGAUGUAACGGGGCUAAACCAU
rnacentral:rRNA from 1 species